rnacentral:lncRNA from 1 species
CUUGGUGUAUGCUUUUCGCAGACGAUAUAGUGUUGAUAGAUGAAACUCAGGAAGGGGUAAAUGCAAAGCUUAAUCUUUGGAGAGAAGUGUUGGAAUCUAAAGGUUUUCGUCUAAGCCGAUCAAAGAUAGAAUAUAUGGAGUGCAAGUUCAGUGCAAAUGGAGGCCAAAACAAGUUAGGGGUGAGGAUCGGAGAUCAAGAAAUACCAAAGAGCGACCGUUUUCGUUACCUAGGAUCUAUCUUGCAAAAGAACGGAGAAUUAGAUGGAGAUCUCAACCAUAGAAUACAAGCUGGAUGGAUGAAGUGGAAGAGUGCAUCCAGCGUAUUGUGUGACCGCCGUAUGCCACUGAAGCUCAAGGGAAAAUUUUAUAGGACGGCAAUAAGGCCGGCGAUGCUGUAUGGCACAUAAUGUUGGGCGGUGAAGCAUCAACACGUACACAAAAUGGGUGUAGCGGAGAUGAGGAUGCUUCAUUGGAUGUAUGGGCACACGAGAAAGGAUAAGAUUAGGAAUGAGGAUAUCCGGGGUAAAGUAGGAGUAGCCGAAAUUGAAGGAAAGAUGAGAGAAAAUCGGUUACGGUGGUUUGGACAUGUGCAAAGAAGACCUACUGACUCUCCGAUUAGAAGAUGUGACUAUGGGACAGAGGUUCAGGGCCGAAGGGGUAGAGGAAGACCUAGGAAAACUUUGGAAGAGACUCUAAGAAAAGACUUAGAGUACUUGGAUCUAACGGAGGACAUGACACAGAACCGAGCACAAUGGCGUUCUAAGAUUCAUAUAGCCGACCCCACUCAGUGACUUGGAUUUUCCAAGUCUCCAACCGAGAAGUUUUCCUCAUUCGGGAAAUUAAGGGAACACUACCUCAACCUACAUGCUCCACUCACAAAGCUUCAACAUACAAGCUUCAACAAAAGAAAAAUUCAAAGAACUUAGUGAAGAAGGUUUUGGUGUAUUUAAUACAAUACGUUGAAAUAAAGCAAAGCUUAUUUAUUGAUAUCCCCGAUAAGUUACAAAUAUGUACAUAUACAUGAGUCAAAAUAAACAAACAAGAGGGAGCCUUCACAAAGGUUGCUUAGGAAAAGUCUCAGCAGUCGGUAGAGCCCCAGAAAGAGAAGGCACCGGAGGGGGAUCAUUUAGAGCCUCAGUACUGGACAGAACCCUAGAAGGAGAAGGCAUCAGAGGUUGAUCAUUUGGAGCUUCAUUACGCUGUACAACCCCAGAAGACGAAGGCAAUAAAUGUCUUUGGAACAAACCCACAAACCUUUGAUGAUCAAGUAAAACCUGACCAUCAGAUUCCUUCAUCUGGUCAAGCUUCCUCUUCAUGUUUGUAGCAUAGUCAUGUGCGAGCCGGUGCAACUGUUUAUUCUCAUGCUUGAGCCCUUUAAUCUCCUGUUUGAGACUCAUCACUUCAGCCGCCAAUGAUUCAACUUGGCGGGUUCGAGCAAAUAGGCGUUGGGCCAUAUUAGACACAGAACCUGCACACUGAACACUGAGAGCCAGAGAAUCCUUAACAGCCAACUCAUCAGACCGUUUGGAAAGUAGUCUGUUAUCCUUGGGAGUGAGAAGGUUCCUGGCCACCACCCGCAGCGGUCAUAUCAUUCUUCAUCACGGAAUCCCCAACGGUAAGAGGACCAGUAGGGGAGACGAAAGAUAGGCACUAUAUGUUGUCUGGAGAAGGCGUGGCUGCCUCUUCAACAAAGUUCAAGUCAAAACGACGGUCGGAUGGGCCAGAUAUUUUUAAAGGUGUUGAAGAGAGAAGAGGUCGGCCAAAUCAAGAUCUUAGAAGUGUAAGAAUGGAGCUUCUACUGGUGGAGAUUCAAGUAUGCUUUGGAACUUAAUGCCAGCCUCUGUAAAAAUCUGCACUCGACGGAGCUUCAGAAAUCAAAGAGGCGCCUGCUCAGAAAUCGAAGGGGCGUUUGCUUUCUCAAAAGCUGGGCUGCUCAGAGACCACGAGGGUCGAUCUCAGAAAUCGAAGAAGCGUUUGCUUGCUUAAAAGCUGGGCUGCUCAAAGACCACGAAGGCUGAUCUCAGAAAUCGAAGAGGCACUUGCUUUCUCAAAAGCUGGGCUGCUCAGAGACCACGAGGGCCGAUCUCAGAAAUUGAAGAGGCACCUACUUUUUCAGCCUUGUCAGCACCUGUCACACGCACACUCAGCUUUGCGGAAAUUACGGGCAUUCUGUCGAAGAUUUCUGGUGAAGUAAAAAGCACAUGAAUCUUACUGUUCAAUCACCCACUUUCCACACGCAACAUUAGCUCAUGGGUACCACAAAUAACUUUGCCAAAGUUCUCUGACAAAGUUGAGACACGUGAAGCUUGUAACUCCCACUACAUCGCUCUGACCAAGAAGGGUAAAAGAAUAGCAAAGAAAUAGCACUAACAAAGUUUAGACACAUAAAUUUUGAAGGUCUAGCUACCAUAUUAUUACCCACAAGGGUAAAGGCACAGUACCACUGCUGGAUAAUUGGAAAGUCCCUGUGUGUCAACCUCUGUGCUCCGUGGCAAGGUAGACUAGCAAACAUGCCCAACCUUUACUCAUAUUCGAGAAAACACUCCCAACAAGAUUGCUUGCUCAAAAAUCGAAGAGGCACCGCCCUCCGAAUCUCGGGAGCCAGACUCCCAACAUGUUUACUUUCUCAGAAAUCGAAGAGACACCGCUCUCCGAAUCUCGAGAGCCAGACCCCCAGUAGGAUUGCUUUCUCAAAAAUCGAAGAGGCAUUGUUCUCCAAAUCUCGAGAGCCAGAUCCUCGACAGGAUUGCUUGUUCGAAAACCGAAGAGGAACCACUUUCUCAACUCCGAGAGCCAGAUCUCCUUGGAUAAAACUUGUCUGUAAUCUUCACACGCAACAUCAGCUUUCCAGAUACCACAUACCACUUUUUCAAAGUGCUCUGGCAGAGUUAAAACAUGUGAAGCUGGCAGCUCCCACUACCAUGCUAUGACCAAGCAGGGUAAAGGAGUAUCAUUACUACUUGUUGUUAGGGAGACUCCUAUAUAUGUCGACCUCCAUCCUCAACGGACAGGUAGACCUGCAAAAAUGCUCAACCCUUCCUCAUAUCUGAGAGGGCACUCCCAACGAAGCCUUUCGAAAUAUUCAGCUUUCUUUCUCCCUGAUAAUACCUCUGCAAACAAGCUAUACCAGAGCAAGAAUAUCUCAUAUCAUCAAGGUUAAAAGCAAGAGUAUCCCAUAUCAUGCUUUUUCCCUGUCUUUUCCUUUGGCCUUGUUCUUACCUGCAGGACAAGGAGAAAGAGAGCAAUCAGUCAGCACUUGGAAUCAAGCUUCCAGUCAGGAACUGACUGCCUGGAACCUCUCACCUGAUUACUUACUUGGCAUUGCUCUCGAGUACUCAUCUUCAACAUCUUAUGCUUCCAGGGAAGAUACCGCAUCUGCCUGAGGCACAUAUAGGGCAAGUGAGAAGGAUACAAGGAAGCAUGUGGAGACAAGCGUAACAGCACACGUGCCGAUACAUCCACUACUUUGUCAAAAGCAAAAGUAUCCCAUAUCAGCAGGGUCGAACGUACUCUAGAUUUGAUGGACUUUUUUUUACCCUCAAAUUCUUUAGUCGGCCUUAUACUCUGGAGGAAACCAGAAAACCCUCCAACCCAGUUCAAGAAUAAGCCUGUGGAAAGUUACUUCUUCAAAAGCAAAAGUAUCUUAUAUCAUCUCUUCUCAUUUUUCUUCUCUUUAUCCUUCAUGCUGCCUGCAAGAUAGGGAGAAUGAGAACAAUCAGCCGAAACUCGUAAUCAAACUUCUGAUCUGGGACUGAUUGCUUGGAGCUCUGAUUACUUACCUUGUCUGUCACCUCUUUGAGCAGAUCCCCUAGCUCGGCGACUUGGGGGACUCCUACUACAUGGUUUGUAUCGCGCUUGACCAAGCCUGAAACUACAAGUAAGCUUCAAGUGAAAUUGAUACAUUACCUUGUGCAUCUCCACUAGUUAAAGAUACCACCCCUAGAUGGAGGAAGAGUACUCCCAGAUAAGAUGUCACAUCUACCUAUGAGACAGAUAAGGCAAGUGAAGACGAUACCACACUUCGGUACUUAGAAGUUUCGUGAUUACGAGAUCAUUCUCCCACAAUAUUUCCUAUUGUUAUUUGUACUAAAUCAUUCACUUGUACUCACUAAAGGAGAGCUUGAACCUAUGUACUUGUGUAAACCCUUCACAAUUAAUGAGAACUCCUAUAUUCCGUGGAUGUAGCCAACCUGGGUGAACCACGUACAUCUUGUGUUUGCUUUCUUGUCUCUAUCCAUUUAUAUACUUAUCCACACUAAUGACCGGAGCAAUCUAGCGAAGAUCAGAAAAAGCGACCGUUUUCGCUACCUAGGAUAUAUCUUGCAAAAGAACGGAGAAUUAGAUGGAGAUCUCAACCAUAGAAUACAAGCUGGAUGGAUGAAGUGGAAGAGUGCAUCCGGCGUGUUGUGUGACCAUCGUAGGCCACUGAAGCUCAAGGGAAAAUUUUAUAGGACGACAAUAAGGCCAGCAAUGCUUUAUGGCACAGAAUGUUGGGCGGUGAAGCAUCAACACGUACACAAAAUGGGUGUAGCGGAGAUAAGGAUGCUUCGUGGGAUGUGUGGGCACAUGAGAAAGGAUAAGAUUGGGAAUGAGGAUAUCCGAGGUAAAGUAGGAGUAGCCGAAAUUGAAAGAAAGAUGAGAAAAAAUCGGUUACGGUGGUUUGGACAUGUGCAAAGAAGGCCUACUGACGCUCCGGUUCGAAGAUAUGACUACGGGACAGAGGUUCAGGGCCGAAGGGGUAGAGGAAGACCUAGGAAAACUUUGGAAGAGACCCUAAGAAAAGACUUAGAGUACUUGGAUCUAACGGAGGACAUGACACAAAACCGAGCGCAAUGGCAUUCUAGGAUUCAUAUAGCUGACCCCACUUAGUGGGAAAAGGCUUUGUUGUUGUUGUUGUUGUUGUUGUUAUGCAGCCAAAAAAAAUUGCAGAGAACGGAAGAGCAAGAGAAGAAUAACUAAACUAUUGGAACGCAUAAAAAUUUCUAUUCAAAUUUCAAAUUAAAGGAAUAUUAGGGAUAUCGAGCAGCAAUAAAUCACUUAAUUCCGCAAAUAUAAAUUAACUAUCCUAAACAGAAUAAAAAAACAUAAAAGAAAAUGAAUAAAUGAGGUUUUUUUUUUCUUGAAGAAAAUUACGUUAUUCAUUGAUUGAAAGGAAAUACGUACAAAUAAGAAAGUAGUGUGCAUACAUGGACCUAGAUAAAAACUUUGCCAAAGAUUUAAACCGGCUCAAAUAGAAAAAGAGCAUCCCACACAAAUACAGCUUGAAAAGCUAUCAUCCUCAACAGCCAAUUGGUUUACAAAUUGUUAAAGCUAAAACUCAAACAAUUCAUCCUU